UCUCCGGAGAGAUGCUCGAUUUGUAUCAAACAAGUCGUAUAAGCCGAGAACCUAUCGCGGACUUUAAAUCGAUAGGAAUCAGGAAGAAAUCGCAACAGGAAAAACGAUAGCCGGCUAGUCACCGCACAAGCCUUAAACCGAAAGUAAACCUAGGUCUUGCCCUAAACCCAGCGCACGGGUCUCUAACAUCUCAAGGCAUGAUAUCGAAAGAUACGAGAUUUCUAAACCAUGCCUCUAUGUUUAUAUUUGACAUCCUCAGCGCCCCCGCGAAGCUCGCAUCUCGUGGAAGAACUCUCGAAACAGAUCUCGAAUGAAACAUUUCACAAUCAAAGAAGGAUAUGAGACGACAACUCAUC
rnacentral:lncRNA from 1 species